GCUUCGGCCUCGCUUUGGGAUGAGCCUGCGGCGCAUUAGUUAGUUGGCGGGGUAACGGCCCACCAAGGCAACGAUGCGUAGCCGGCCUGAGAGGGUGAUCGGCCACACUGGGACUGAGAUACGGCCCAGACUCCUACGGGAGGCAGCAGCUAAGAAUCUUCCGCAAUGGGCGAAAGCCUGACGGAGCGACGCCGCGUGGAGGACGAAGGCCGAGAGGUUGUAAACUCCUUUUCUGCGUGAGGAAUAAUCACCGGGGGGAAUGCUGGUGAGAUGACGGUAGCGCAGGAAUAAGCCCCGGCCAAUUACGUGCCAGCAGCCGCGGUAAUACGUAUGGGGCGAGCGUUGUUCGGAAUCAUUGGGCGUAAAGGGCGCGCAGGCGGCUGUGCAAGCCUGGUGUGAAAGACCACAGCUUAACUGUGGGAGCGCGCUGGGAACUGUGCAGCUAGAGUUCCGGAGGGGAAGCUGGAAUUCCAGGUGUAGGGGUGAAGUCUGUAGAUAUCUGGAAGAACAUCGGCGGCGAAGGCGAGCUUCUGGCCGUGAACUGACGCUGAGGCGCGAUAGCGUGGGGAGCGAACAGGAUUAAGAUACCCUGGUAGUCCACGCUGUAAACGAUGUGCACUAUGGGGUGGGCCCAUGAAGGGGUCCAGUGGCGGAAGCCAACGCGUUAAGUGCACCGCCUGGGGGAAUAUUGCCCGCUAGGGGUGAAACUCAAAGGAAUU
rnacentral:rRNA from 1 species